GAAAGUUGCAGUCCUGCCAGCUGGUGGAUUAACUGUUGCCAAAAGCUCAACUUUAAAAAGCUUUGGUGUCAGCUUCCAGCAGCUGGCGGGGAAGCGAC
rnacentral:ncRNA from 2 species